rnacentral:rRNA from 1 species
GAGUUUGAUCCUGGCUCAGAUUGAACGCUGGCGGCAUGCCUAACACAUGCAAGUCGAACGGCAGCGCGGGGCGAACCCUACGGCGGCGAGUGGCGGACGGGUGGAGGAACGAACAUAGGAAGUACUACCUCCAACGUAGGGGGAGUAACGUAAGGAAACGUUAACGCUAAUACCGCAUACGACCGAGAGGGGAAAGACGGCGGACCGCAAGCGUCGCGCGGUGAGAUGAGCCUAUGUCCGAUUAGCUAGUUGGCGGGUAAGAGCCCACCAAGGCGACGAUCGGUAGCUGGUCUGAGAGGAUGAUCAGCCACACUGGGACUGAGACACGGCCCAGACUCCUACGGGAGGCAGCAGUGGGGAAUAUUGGACAAUGGGCGCAAGCCUGAUCCAGCAAUGCCGCGUGGGUGAA